rnacentral:rRNA from 1 species
CCCUUAGAUGUCCUGGGCCGCACGCGCGCUACACUGGACGGAUCAGCGCGUUUUCCCUUCCCGAGAGGGACGGGUAACCUGCUGAACCCCGUUCGUGGUAGGGAUCGGGGCUUGCAAUUAUUCCCCGUGAACCAGGAAUGCCCAGUAAGUGCAAGUCAUAAGCUUGCGUUGAUUACGUCCCUGCCCUUUGUACACACCGCCCGUCGCUACUACCGAUUGAACGUUUUAGUGAGGUACUCGGACUGAGCCUCAGAAGAUUCACGUCUUUUGUGCUGCUCGGGAAGAUUCCCAAACUUGAGCGUUUAGAGGAAGUAAAAGUCGUAACA